AGCAACAUUCCCAAAUGCUGAUUGUCUCUCUGUUCACACACCUGCACCUCUCCACAGACCUGCGUCAACCCACCAUGGACUGCUGCAAAYCGGACUGGACAUGUAGGGCUACCUGGUCUUCACUGAAGAGCCUGGAUGAGACGGURCAAAGAAGGAGACGCAUGCUUUGUCUGAAAUGGCACCACUUGAGCAUACAGGGAAAAUGGUGUUGUUUUGGAUGCACUCAGAGAGAAAGAGAGCAGUCCUGUCCUGGGGCCUACAGAGAGGGAGUGGAACGGGGAGAGGUGCCAAGACGGUCCAACAACAAGUAGUCUCACGGUAUUCCCUCCCUCCAUCUUUAUCCGCCGAAGCUGUGGAGUGUGACAAUGGUGUUUGUGUCCUCUGCUAUCAAACGCCAUUAUCACACUAUAUAGCUACGGUGAGAAGAGAACAGCGUCACUGCGACCCCAUGCCCUGAGGUCAGUCAAACAGAGAUAGUGGCGGUGAAGUAAGGGUCACACCGGCCAUGGCCAUAUAUCCUGGUUGGUUAACUCAAUGUGGUUUGGUGCUCUCUUCACAGGCCUUGAAUCUUGUUGUUGCUGGUUUGAUAGUGGAUUGUUGUUGCAUGUAUUCCUCCUACCCACCAUKGGAAAUAAGGUAAUAAACUAAAUACAGAGAGCGUAUAAAGUUUGUAGUUUGAGUAAAGUUUGGCUGGCAUUUGGCUGGAUGAGAUUUUAAUAUGACUAGUCGUGAUUGGUCACAUGCUGACCGCAAUGUAAGUGUUAAAAACAGACGUGUGAUACAGUGCCAAAACAUGAAGCUUCAGAUGCUUGCUGACCCAUUUCCUUCUCUGCCUACACGUUAUACUGUGUUACUAAUGCACAGACAUCUUUUAGAGACCAAGAUACAUGACCCAUUGUGUUUUCAUGUGAUGCUGGAGGAAAACGCUAUUGUGUCUUCUGUGCUGUCUAUGUUGUUGUCAAUGAAACCAAAUUAAAAACAUGUCUCUACUUACAUAA